CAUUGUCAAUAUUAAAAUUUCUAAAGGGUAAGUCUGAAAUACCAAGCUUACACAGAUACAAGCACCAGCGAAGGUAAUGGAUUACAGAAGAAUCUUUAUCAUGGUUUUCCUUGUCUGCAUUGUAAUGGUAAAUUCAUACAGUUUUGAUACCAAUUACAGACCUGCGAAAAACAUUUUUCACGACGAAUACAGAAGAAUGAAUACACAACAACAACCCCCAUUAAAGUUAAACCAAAUCCUUCAAGCGUAUUAUAAAAAGGGUGUACAGGACAAAUACAAGAGAUGGUCAGAAUGCAGUCCAACAGGAUGUUAAAAGUAACAACCAUAAAGAAAAAACAAUUUAACUUAAUGAAUUAUUAAAAAGACAAAUAACAACA